GACGAACGCUGGCGGCGUGCUUAACACAUGCAAGUCGAACGGAAAGGCCCUGCUUUUGUGGGGUGCUCGAGUGGCGAACGGGUGAGUAACACGUGAGUAACCUGCCCUUGACUUUGGGAUAACUUCAGGAAACUGGGGCUAAUACCGGAUAGGAGCUCCUGCUGCAUGGUGGGGGUUGGAAAGUUUCGGCGGUUGGGGAUGGACUCGCGGCUUAUCAGCUUGUUGGUGGGGUAGUGGCUUACCAAGGCUUUGACGGGUAGCCGGCCUGAGAGGGUGACCGGCCACAUGGGGACUGAGAUACGGCCCAGACUGCUACGGUAGGCAGCAGUGGGGAAUAUUGCACAAUGGGCGGAAGCCUGAUGCAGCAACGCCGCGUGCGGGAUGACGUGCUUCGGGUUGUAAACCGCUUUCGCCUGUGACGAAGCGUGAGUGACGGUAAUGGGUAAAGAAGCACCGGCUAACUACGUG
rnacentral:rRNA from 1 species